AACGAACGCUGGCGGCAUGCCUAACACAUGCAGGUCGAACGAGACCUUCGGGUCUAGUGGCGCACGGGUGCGUAACGCGUGGGAACCUGCCCUUAGGUUCGGAAUAACUCCCCGAAAGGGGUGCUAAUACCGGAUAAUGUCUUCGGACCAAAGAUUUAUCGCCUUUGGAUGGGCCCGCGUUGGAUUAGCUAGUUGGUAGGGUAAAAGCCUACCAAGGCGACGAUCCAUAGCUGGUCUGAGAGGAUGAUCAGCCACACUGGGACUGAGACACGGCCCAGACUCCUACGGGAGGCAGCAGUGGGGAAUAUUGGACAAUGGGCGAAAGCCUGAUCCAGCAAUGCCGCGUGAGUGAUGAAGGCCUUAGGGUUGUAAAGCUCUUUUACCCGGGACGAUAAUGACAGUACCGGGAGAAUAAGCUCCGGCUAACUCCGU
rnacentral:rRNA from 1 species